rnacentral:rRNA from 1 species
UCCGUAGGCGGGCUAAUAAGUCAGAGGUGAAAUCCCACAGCUUAACUGUGGCACUGCCUUUGAUACUGUUGGUCUUGAGUCGUAAUGAGGUAGAUGGAAUGUGUAGUGUAGCGGUGAAAUGCAUAGAUAUUACACAGAACACCGAUUGCGAAGGCAGUCUACUAAUUAUGAACUGACGCUGAGGGACGAAAGCGUGGGUAGCGAACAGGAUUAGAUACCCUGGUAGUCC